CGUCAGUCUUUGUCCAGGGGGCCGCCUUCGCCACCGGUAUUCCUCCAGAUCUCUACGCAUUUCACCGCUACACCUGGAAUUCUACCCCCCUCUACAAGACUCAAGCUUGCCAGUUUCAAAUGCAGUUCCCAGGUUGAGCCCGGGGAUUUCACAUCUGACUUAACAAACCGCCUGCGUGCGCUUUACGCCCAGUAAUUCCGAUUAACGCUUGCACCCUCCGUAUUACCGCGGCUGCUGGCACGGAGUUAGCCGGUGCUUCUUCUGCGAGUAACGUCAAUCGCUAAGGUUAUUAACCUUAACGCCUUCCUCCUCGCUGAAAGUACUUUACAACCCGAAGGCCUUCUUCAUACACGCGGCAUGGCUGCAUCAGGCUUGCGCCCAUUGUGCAAUAUUCCCCACUGCUGCCUCCCGUAGGAGUCUGGACCGUGUCUCAGUUCCAGUGUGGCUGGUCAUCCUCUCAGACCAGCUAGGGAUCGUCGCCUAGGUGAGCCAUUACCCCACCUACUAGCUAAUCCCAUCUGGGCACAUCUGAUGGCAUGAGGCCCGAAGGUCCCCCACUUUGGUCUUGCGACGUUAUGCGGUAUUAGCUACCGUUUCCAGUAGUUAUCCCCCUCCAUCAGGCAGUUUCCCAGACAUUACUCACCCGUCCGCCGCUCGUCACCCGAGAGCAAGCUCUCUGUGCUACCGCUCGACUUGCAUGUGUUAGGCCUGCCGCCAGCGUUCA
rnacentral:rRNA from 1 species